AAAAAGUUACUCAAGAGCAUAUGGCGGAUGCCUAGGCUCACAGAGGCGAUGAAGGACGUGAUAAGCUGCGAUAAGUUUCGGGUAGGUGCAAGUAACCGCUUGAUCCGAAAAUUUCCGAAUGGGGAAACCUAACAGAUUGAAGAUCUGUUGUCCUUUUUAGGAUGCUAACCCAGGGAACUGAAACAUCUAAGUACCUGGAGGAAGAGAAAACAAUAGUGAUUUCCAAAGUAGUGGCGAGCGAAAUGGAAAUAGCCCAAACCAUUCUUGUUUCGGCAAGAAUGGGGUUGUAGGACUACGUUAUUUCAUGUGCUAUGAAGUAGAAUACACUGGAAAGUGUAACCAAAGAGGGUGAUAGUCCCGU
rnacentral:rRNA from 1 species